rnacentral:rRNA from 1 species
GGAUCCAGACUUUGUUAUGGCUCAGGAUGAACGCUGGCGGCGUGCCUAACACAUGCAAGUCGAGCGAUUUACUUCGGUAAAGAGCGGCGGACGGGUGAGUAACGCGUGGGUAACCUGCCCUGUACACACGGAUAACAUACCGAAAGGUAUGCUAAUACGAGAUAAAAUACUUUUAUCGCAUGGUAGAAGUAUCAAAGCUUUUGCGGUACAGGAUGGACCCGCGUCUGAUUAGCUAGUUGGUAAGGUAACGGCUUACCAAGGCGACGAUCAGUAGCCGACCUGAGAGGGUGAUCGGCCACAUUGGAACUGAGACACGGUCCAAACUCCUACGGGAGGCAGCAGUGGGGAAUAUUGCACAAUGGGCGAAAGCCUGAUGCAGCAACGCCGCGUGAGCGAUGAAGGCCUUCGGGUCGUAAAGCUCUGUCCUCAAGGAAGAUAAUGACGGUACUUGAGGAGGAAGCCCCGGCUAACUACGUGCCAGCAGCCGCGGUAAUACGUAGGGGGCUAGCGUUAUCCGGAAUUACUGGGCGUAAAGGGUGCGUAGGUGGUUUCUUAAGUCAGAGGUGAAAGGCUACGGCUCAACCGUAGUAAGCCUUUGAAACUGGGAAACUUGAGUGCAGGAGAGGAGAGUGGAAUUCCUAGUGUAGCGGUGAAAUGCGUAGAUAUUAGGAGGAACACCAGUUGCGAAGGCGGCUCUCUGGACUGUAACUGACACUGAGGCACGAAAGCGUGGGGAGCAAACAGGAUUAGAUACCCUGGUAGUCCACGCCGUAAACGAUGAGUACUAGCUGUCGGAGGUUACCCCCUUCGGUGGCGCAGCUAACGCAUUAAGUACUCCGCCUGGGAAGUACGCUCGCAAGAGUGCAACUCAAAUGAAUUGACGG